CAAAAAACCAAAUGAAUAGAUAUUUCCGAAAUUCAAAUAGUAAAACAUAUCGAUGUGUAAAUGUUACGUGGCUUGAUAUUUCUAGGUAUUGUAAAGUUGCUCACUCGUGAUUUCAAUUCGAAUGAAAGUGUUUCAUUAUGAAUUCAGGAAUUAGGUAUUAAUGGUAAUUCUCAGUGAAGUGUUGAAACGAGCAGAAAGAGAAAUGUGAUAAACUAAAUAUCCUGCAUUCCGUGGAGAGUCACUUUGCCAUUAAUCCUUGCAAGUAUGCUAAAAUGUGUCUCAACCAAAAGCUUGAUUAAAUCAUUUGAUUAAAUCAUGUCCAGCACAGAUUGCUGUAAUGUUAAUGGUAUGGCAGGAUCAGUAAAAUGAAUAAAACGAUUUCAGUAAUUCA